rnacentral:lncRNA from 1 species
CGACGACGACGAUGAACCGUUUACGAGCUCGCGUAAAUAAUUCCAGCGUAUCUCGGCAUGCAAAUUUUAUUUGUGCUCUUGUACGAGAAGGUGCACUGCUUGUCUUCGACCAAUAAAGUCGUACGUCCUGUUCACUCACUUGUGGCUUGUUUGUAUGGGCGUCAGUAGAGGCACUUUGAUCUUUUGGCAAUUAGAAUGCACAAGCUAAGCGGC